CUGGAGUACUCGAGUGGCGAACGGGUGAGUAACACGUGGGUAAUCUGCCCUGCACUCUGGGAUAAGCCUGGGAAACUGGGUCUAAUACUGGAUAUGACCUUUCUCCUUAUGGGGUUUGGUGGAAAGUUUUUCGGUGUAGGAUGAGCCCGCGGCCUAUCAGCUUGUUGGUGGGGUGAUGGCCUACCAAGGCGACGACGGGUAGCCGGCCUGAGAGGGUGAUCGGCCACAUUGGGACUGAGAUACGGCCCGG
rnacentral:rRNA from 1 species